ACAUUUUUAGAAAUGCACCACAUCAAUAACGAAGAAUAUUGUAUGGACAAAAAAACAGAUCUCAACAAUUUGAGUGAAAUCAUUUAGUAUUCAGACACUGUCAAAGUUUGACUGAUUCCAAUUUUUAUUGAUGUUUUUACUGUUCGCUUUGUUCCAAAGUUUCUUUAUUAUUCUCUCGUUAUUGUCCUGACGAAGGUAAUGAAUUUGCCAAAAGCUUGACAGUAACAAAGAGUGUUCUUUGUAACAACCCUACAAAUCCAACUACAACCUCACAAAAUAAAUCGAUUUAUAUUAAAGCCAGUCACGAAUUCUUCUCAGUAUACAUGUUGUUACGGCCAUUUUAAUAUAUACCAAAAAUACAAUAUUGAAAUAUUUGUGGUAAAGUUU